ensembl:snRNA U6 U6 spliceosomal RNA
GAGCACACUUCAACAGCACAUCUAGUAAACUUGGACCAAUACAGAGAAUAUUAGCAUGUCCCUGUUUAUGGCACGCAAAUUUAUGAAGCACUCAGACAUUUA